GAUUGACUGAUUGGUUACUUGAUCCAGCUUAGGAGAACUCAUUAGGCAGAGAUUUUUGUGAAUUUAUACCUCAGAAAUCACUAAAUAUCACACAGUAGAGCAUAAUUUAUUGUUUUAUUGUCUAAAGUUAGGUAGGUGAUGGAGAAAGUGUUAAUAAAGUUGAUUAAACUUUAAAAAGUACUGUGAUUUUUUUUUUAGAGAGUCAAUUAUUAAACAUUUGCCAGUACUCACUCCUGGCUUGGGGGAGAAUACUGUACUUAAAAUCAGACACACUUGGGCUUAAAUAUUGCUCUAAUCUCUUACUAAUUAAUUAUAUGACCCAAGCAAAUAAUUUUGCAUCAUUAAGUCUUAGUUUCUUCAUCUGUAAAUGGGGAAAACUAUAGUGACUACCUCACAGGAUUUCUGGGUAAAUCCUAAAGCUUUCUAUAAAUAAAUAUUAUUAUUAUUCUAUGGGGGAACUUAACACAUUCCUGUCCUUUUUUUGUAGGGCAUCUUUUAUCUUUUGUUGCUAGCUUAGUUUGUAAAACUUGAAUCUCUUUUUCAUUUCUUUUUUACUUAAUCUAACAAUAAUCAAGCAUCUCCAUUCUCCUUCUCCUUCUUUCCUAGGGUAGAUCAUAAGGUGGAAUGCUGGGGUGGUACCCUGGGUUGGAAGUUUGAAUACCUGAGCUCCAUUUCCAAUUCCAGUAUAGACAUUCUUAGGUGCCUGUGGGAAAACCAUAUCAUUGACCUUUCUGCAGUCUUUAGUUUAGGAGGCAGUGCAAACCUGGCAUGAAGCCCAUUGUAUAAUUGAAAAUCUAUUACCCUAAAAAAGAACUACAUUUCCUGGGAGCCCACUGACUUCCUGUCCUUACAUACUUCCUUUAUACAGGAGAUAUAGGGAGGAGAUAUGGAGGAUCCCGCACUCUUUUUGGAAUAAUAAAGUGGAGGAAUUCCAUGGAGACUGGAACAACCUCCAGGAAGUGAUGCAGAGCGAAAAAAGCAGAACCAGGAGAACAUUGUACACAGAGACUGAUACAUGGUGGUACAAUCGAAUGUAAU
rnacentral:lncRNA from 1 species